CUCUACAAAGUUGAACAUAGGCUGAGUCUCUAUGCCUUGAAUGGAGCACUGGAUUGGAUACCCGGGAAACCG
rnacentral:sRNA from 1 species